rnacentral:rRNA from 1 species
AUACGUAGGUGGCAAGCGUUGUCCGGAAUUAUUGGGCGUAAAGCGCGCGCAGGCGGUCCUUUAAGUCUGAUGCGAAAGCCCACGGCUCAACCGUGGAGGGUCAUUGGAAACUGGAGGACUUGAGUGCAGAAGAGGAAAGUGGAAUUCCAAGUGUAGCGGUGAAAUGCGUAGAGAUUUGGAGGAACACCAGUGGCGAAGGCGACUUUCUGGUCUGUAACUGACGCUGAGGCGCGAAAGCGUGGGGAGCAAACAGGAUUAGAUACCCUGGUAGUCCACGCCGUAAACGAUGAGUGCUAAGUGUUAGGGGGUUUCCGCCCCUUAGUGCUGCAGCUAACGCAUUAAGCACUCCGCCUGGGGAGUACGGUCGCAAGACUGAAACUCAAAUGAAUUGACGGGG